CGCCCAGGGGGCGCUGCACCCGCGCCCGCCACCCAGCCGGCUGCACCUGGCUGUCGCCUGGCUGCAAAUUACAGACCCAGCUCGCCCCCGCGCACGCGCGCGUCUCGGGGCCUGCACCUGCCCGCUCCAUCCCGCAGGCCUAACGGGACCGCGCCUCAGGCCUCCGCUCCCGACACCCAGAGCCCAUGGGCACCUGCGGAGGCGCCUCCGUCGCCUCUGAAUCCAGAGCGCUUCUUCCUACCUUCCUGGCCUGCGGAGUCCAGGGUCAGCCCUGAUUUCACAGCCGCAACCCGAGCGGCCAAGCUGGGUUAACUUCGUCUCCAAGAUGAGGGCAAUACCUACCUUAUGGGAGCCGUCGUGCCCCUGAAGUGUUCUAAGGUACGUACAUGGCCAGGCACCUGCUCUCUGCUACGCACAAAACAGCUGAAAUCUGCUGCACCUCUUGGUCUCUCUUACCAGAUCAUAAAACCGUGGCUUGAGGAUUUUGAUGUCCAACAGAUUCUUUAACAUGUAAUAAAUGAAUGAACCUCACCAAGUUCCAUUGCUAUGGGAACGCAGCACCGAUGUUUCGAGACAAAAAUCACAAGAACCGCUGAUGGACCCCAGCUUUUAUUUAUUUGUUUGAGAGAAAGAGCACAGAGGGACAAGCAGACUCCCCACUGAGUACAGAGAGCCUGAGGCAGGGCUCCAUCCCAGGACCCGGAGAUCAGGACCGGAGCUAAAGUCAGAUGCAUAACCAACUGAGCCACCCAGAGAGAGACAAUGAGAGAGAGCAUGUGAGGGGAGAAGGUCAGAGGGAAAAGCAGACUCCCCAUGGAGCAGGGAGCCUGAUGCGGGGCUCGACCCCUGGACUCUCGGCAUCAUGACCUGAGCCAAAGGCAGUUGCUCAACCAACCGAGCCGCCCAGGUGCCCAAGGACAGCAUUCCGAAGGGGAAAAUGGAAGGCGUCCCAGAGGCGGAUGACAGUGAUGGUGUCACAACAGCAUCAAUGUACCUAAUGCCACUGAACACUGACAGUCAAAAAUGGUGACAAUGGGGACACCUGGGUGGCUCAAUGGGUUAAGCCUCUGCCUUCGGCUCAGGUCAUUAUCCCGGGGUCCUGGGAUCGAGCCCCUCAUUAGGCUCUCUGCUCCAAGGGGAGCCUGCCUCCCCUCUCUCUCUCUGCCUGCCUCUCUGCCUACUUGUGAUCUCUGUCUGUCAAAUAAAUAAAAUCUUUUUUUAAAAUGGUGACAAUGACAAAAAUUUAUGUUCUGUACAUUUUACCAUAACCUUUAAAAGUUGUGUUAAGUGGGCAUUUGGGGUUCUAGCUUUGGCCCUCUAAAACAAACACUAUGAAGUCUCUGGUGACUCAGGAUGUGGAGAAAGAGAUGCGGUUCGUUUAUGUGCUCGCGGAAGGGGGACACACACAACACUCAGCUCCAAGGGGAAAACACAAAUAACCAGGGCAAAUUUGUAUAGAAUUAAAAAAAAAAAAAAUCUGGAGGGGCGCCUGGGUGGCUCAGUCAGUUAAGCAUCUGCCUUCAGCUCAGGUCAUGAUCCCGGGGUCCUGGGAGCGAGCCCUGUGUCAGGCUCCCUGCUCAGUGGCGAGUCUGCUUCUACCUCUC